UACGGAGGAUGCAAGCGUUAUCCGGAAUCACUGGGCGUGAAGCGUCUGUAGGUGGUUUAUCAAGUCUGCUGUUAAAGCUUGAGGCUUAACCUCAAAAAAGCAGUGGAAACUGAUAGACUAGAGAAUGGUAGGGGCGGAGAGAAUUCGCAGUGUAGCGGUGAAAUGCGUAGAUAUUGAGAAGAAUACCGAUAGCGAAGGCGCUCUGCUGGGCCAUUACUGACACUCAGAGACGAAAGCUAGGGGAGCAAAUGGG
rnacentral:rRNA from 1 species